UACGGAGGGUGCAAGCGUUUGUCCGGAUUUAUUGGGUUUAAAGGGUGCGUAGGUGGCGUCUUAAGUCUGGUUUGAAAGCUGGUGGCUCAACCAUCAGAUGUGGCUGGAAACUGGGGCGCUUGAAUGGGUUGGCGGUAGCCGGAACGGGUCAUGUAGCGGUGAAAUGCAUAGAUAUGACCCAGAACACCGAUUGCGAAGGCAGGCUACUACGACUUGAUUGACACUGAGGCACGAGAGCAUGGGUAGCGAACAGG
rnacentral:rRNA from 1 species